ACUUUUGCAAACUUAGUCCUGGCACUAUAAAUUUAAAAAUGUGCAUGUGAAAAUAUGCUCAUUAUAAAUUUGUAGUGUUCGGAUUGAGUUUAUAAUAGUCG
rfam:Triticum aestivum genome assembly, contig: Triticum_aestivum_CS42_TGACv1_scaffold_434534_5DL